rnacentral:ncRNA from 1 species
AAAGGUUUGGUCCUAGCUUUUUUAUUAAUUGUUAGCAAAUUUAUACAUGCAAGAAUCACCACCCCUGUGAAAAUGCCCUACAAAUCAUCAAUAGAUGAUAAAGGAGCUGGUAUCAAGCACACUUACAUGUAGCUCACAACACCUUGCUUGGCCACACCCCCACGGGAUACAGCAGUAAUUAAAAUUAAGCAAUAAACGAAAGUUUGACUAAGUUAUGCAACCUACCAAGGGCUGGUAAAUCUCGUGCCAGCCACCGCGGUCAUACGAGUAACCCUAAUUAAUAAACUUCGGCGUAAAGAGUGUUAAAAAUAAAGCUAAAAUAAGAUUAAAUCCUGUCUAGGCCGUAAAAAACAAUAGACAGAAGUAAACCCAUAAACGAAAGUAAUCUUAAUAAAUAUGAGUACACUAAAGCUAAGACUCAAACUGGGAUUAGAUACCCCACUAUGCUUAGCCAUAAACAAAAAUAUUUAACAACAAAAAUACUCGCCAGAGAACUACUAGCAAUAGCUUAAAACUCAAAGGACUUGGCGGUGCUUUAAACCCACCUAGAGGAGCCUGUUCUGUAAUCGAUAAACCCCGAUAGACCUCACCACUUCUCGCUAAUUCAGCUUAUAUACCGCCAUCUUCAGCAAACCCUAAUAAGGAAUAAAAGUAAGCACAACUACCCCCAUAAAAACGUUAGGUCAAGGUGUAGCUAAUGAAGUGGGAAGAAAUGGGCUACAUUUUCUCUAAGAGAAAACUUAACGGCAAUCUAUAUGAAAUCUAGAGAUAUAAGGAGGAUUUAGUAGUAAAUUAAGAAUAGAGAGCUUAAUUGAAUUAGGCCAUAAAGCACGCACACACCGCCCGUCACCCUCCUCAAAUAUCUACUCAAAUUUGCUUAAAUUAUAAUAAUAUUAGAGGAGACAAGUCGUAACAAGGUAAGCAUACUGGAAAGUGUGCUUGGAUAAA